AUGACACCGUUAGCCAGCAGUGUGUCUCCUGAAAAGAGAGCUGAUUAGAGAGGCAGUUUUGAAUUUAGGAGUGGCAAGAUGGCAGCGGCAAACCCUGGCGGUUCUCCGGGUUCGUGGCAACCACGGAUGGGGAAAAUGUGGAGGUUGCACGGCUGAUGUUUACUGUUCAUGGCACAGGAAGAGGCAGUUUUAUUUCAGGAAUGAGUGAGCACAAUCAAAGAAUAGAGCGACUGUGGAGAGACCUCUGGGUGGCCAUUACAUGCUUUACUACGAUGUUCUUCACAACCUUGAGGAAGAAGACCUUCUUGACAUUUCAAAUGCUGCACACCUCUUUUGCUGCCAUUACGUCUUUCUUCCUCGACUGGAGGAUGAUUUUAAUACAUUUUGCAGUGGAUGGGACAACCAUCCACUGCGAAC